rnacentral:rRNA from 1 species
GACGAACGCUGGCGGCGUGCUUAACACAUGCAAGUGGAGCGACGAACCAGGGCUUGCCCUGGGGCAGAGCCGCGAACGGGUGAGUAACACGUGGGUAACGUGCCCCGAUGACUGGGACAACCCGGGGAAACCCGGGCUAAUACCGGAUGUGCUCCCUCACUUCGGUGAGACGAGUAAAGGAAGCUUCGGCCUCCGCAUCGGGAUCGGCCCGCGGCCCAUUAGCUUGUUGGUGAGGUAACGGCUCACCAAGGCCGCGAUGGGUAGCUGGUCUGAGAGGACGAUCAGCCACACUGGGACUGAGACACGGCCCAGACUCCUACGGGAGGCAGCAGUGGGGAAUCUUGCGCAAUGCGCGACAGCGUGACGCAGCAACGCCGCGUGGGGGAAGAAGGCCUUCGGGUUGUAAACCCCUUUCAGGAGGGACGAAGGUCGGGCCGUUAAUAGCGGUCCCGACUGACGGUACCUCCACAAGAAGCCCCGGCUAACUACGUGCCAGCAGCCGCAGUAAGAC